rnacentral:rRNA from 1 species
AUUGAACGCUGGCGGCAGGCCUAACACAUGCAAGUCGAGCGGGGUUUUCGGACCUAGCGGCGGACGGGUGAGUAAUGCGUAGGAAGCUACCCGAUAGAGGGGGAUACCAGUUGGAAACGACUGUUAAUACCGCAUAAUGCCUACGGACCAAAGUGUGGGACCUUCGGGCCACAUGCUAUCGGAUGCGCCUACGUGGGAUUAGCUAGUUGGUGGGGUAAUGGCUCACCAAGGCGACGAUCCCUAGCUGGUUUGAGAGGAUGAUCAGCCACACUGGAACUGAGACACGGUCCAGACUCCUACGGGAGGCAGCAGUGGGGAAUAUUGGACAAUGGGCGCAAGCCUGAUCCAGCCAUGCCGCGUGUGUGAAGAAGGCCUUCGGGUUGUAAAGCACUUUCAGUAGGGAGGAAGAGUUGAGUGUUAAUAGUACUUAACUUUGACGUUACCUACAGAGGAAGCACCGGCUAACUCUGUGCCAGCCGCCGCCGUAAUAC